GCGAAAGUGGCGGAAUUGGUAGACGCACCAGAUUUAGGUUCUGACGCCGCAAGGCGUGGGGGUUCGAGUCCCCCCCUUUCGCACCA
rnacentral:tRNA from 1 species